GAACGCUGGCGGCGUGCUUAACACAUGCAAGUCGAACGAUUAACCCAAACUUCGGUUUGGUUAUAAAGUGGCGAACGGGUGAGUAACACGUGACCAACCUGCCUUCUAGAUCGGGAUAACUCAAGGAAACUUGUGCUAAUACCGGAUACUCCGGAGCAAUCGCAUGGUAGCUUCGGGAAAGCUUUUGCGCUAGAAGAUGGGGUCGCGGCCUAUUAGGUAGUUGGUGGGGUAGAGGCCUACCAAGCCUGCGAUAGGUAGCCGGGUUGAGAGACUGAUCGGCCACAUUGGGACUGAGAUACGGCCCAGACUCCUACGGGAGGCAGCAGUGGGGAAUUUUGCGCAAUGGGGGCAACCCUGACGCAGCAACGCCGCGUGCGGGAUGAAGGUCUUCGGAUUGUAAACCGCUUUCAGUAGGGAAUAAGUAUGAAGGUACCUACAGAAGAAGCACCGGCUAAAUACGUGCCAGCAGCCGCGGUAAUACGUAUGGUGCAAGCGUUAUCCGGAAUCAUUGGGCGUAAAGCGCGCGUAGGCGGCUUGUUAAGCAGGAAUUUAAAUCUUAGGGCUCAACCUUAAGUCGGUUCCUGAACUGGCAGGCUCGAGUGCGGUAGAGGAAGGUGGAAUUCCCAGUGUAGCGGUGAAAUGCGCAGAUAUUGGGAAGAACACCGAUGGCGAAGGCAGCCUUCUGGGCCGCCACUGACGCUGAGGCGCGAAAGCUAGGGGAGCGAACAGGAUUAGAUACCCUGGUAGUCCUAGCCGUAAACGAUGGGCACUAGGUGUGGGGAGGAAUUCUCUCCGUGCCGCAGCUAACGCAUUAAGUGCCCCGCCUGGGGAGUACGGCCGCAAGGCUAAAACUCAAAGGAAUUGACGGGGGCCCGCACAAGCAGCGGAGCAUGUGGC
rnacentral:rRNA from 1 species